UGCUCUUCCCAUCUGUCUGUCUGCUGGUUGAUGCUGGUCUGUGAAGGGCUACCGAUCUGUGAUGAGAUAAGAACAGAAAUGGAACAGAAGCAUUUG